rnacentral:rRNA from 1 species
CGGGGGAGCACCACAACAGGUGGAGCCUGCGGUUUAAUCGGACUCAACGCCGGGAAACUCACCAGAUAAGACAGCUGAAUGAUAGUCGGGCUGAAGACUCUACUUGACUAGCUGAGAGGAGGUGCAUGGCCGUCGUCAGUUCGUACUGUGAAGCAUCCUGUUAAGUCAGGCAACGAGCGAGACCCACGCCAACAGUUGCCAGCUCGUCCUCCGGGACGGUGGGGACACUGUUGGGACCGCCUCUGCUAAAGAGGAGGAAGGAAUGGGCAACGGUAGGUCAGCAUGCCCCGAAUUAUCUGGGCUACACGCGGGCUACAAUGGGUGGGACAAUGGGUAUCGACACCGAAAGGUGAAGGCAAUCUCCUAAACCCAUCCGUAGUUCGGAUUGUGGGCUGCAACUCGCCCACAUGAAGCUGGAAUCUGUAGUAAUCGUGUCUCAAAAUGGCACGGUGAAUAUGUCCCUGCUCCUU